AAUGGGAUGGCUGAUUUAGGUGAUAGAUUGUAAAUUUAUUUAAGGUUUUAAACCUCUCAUUAUUU
rnacentral:tRNA from 1 species